UCUCUCUCACAUCCCCUCUUUUCUCCCUCCACUUUACCUCUUUUCCCCCCGUCUUCCCGAGUCCUUCAGUUUCUCCUGCCUCCCUCUUCUCUUUCCAUUUCCCAGUAUCUGCCCCCAGUUCCUUUAACCACCUUCUGGCUGUCUCCAAGACCCCUCAUGGUUACCCCACCCCAGCUCCGGGUCAGUCCGCGCUAGGGCUGGAGGGGAGGGGGCCCUCUACCUGAGGGGAAUCACCUCCCCCACCCCCCUCCAUUCCAGACGCCAGUAGGAGAUGCUUCCAUACAAGAGACCACCCCACCGAUUAACAAGUUUCUACCCAGAACCUCCACUGAGAAGGUGAACAAACCAGCCAUGCUCACUUCUGACCUAGCUCUCCUCCUGACCCUUACCGCACAGGCCUGUGAGGUGGAUCCGGCGAGGAUUGUUUGUCCCACUUUUUCUGAGACCCUGAGAAGGAAAGAGACUUAAGCCUGCGGCGUCCAGACUCCAUCGCAAUGUCAGCCACCCGACAAUCCCAGCACCCGUGUCCUCACUUUCAGUCCUCGUAGUAAUCGUGGCAGAGAGAGGGCCGCCUCCACAGCAAGAAGGAUCCGAGCUAGACCUAAGGAGGACCUCCCCAAUAGCAGGGGCAGCGAGAUUUCAGUGAAAAAACAGAACAGAAAACAAACACUGUGCCUCGGUGUCUCAUCUGUAAAACUGGUGACUCUCCAGAGUUCCUCCUAGCUCCAAACCCUGGGUUCACUAGGGACGUCCCUCUCCACACACAUCCCAAACAUUUCCUCCAAUUUCUCUCCUUCCUUUUUGGGGUA